ensembl:lncRNA
CCUAGAAAGAAACAAAUAAUGCAUUACCUUUAUCAUUUUAUAUCUAAAGCAUUCACGUACGAAAAAAGAAUAAUCAAAUGUAAAAAUAACCUAAGUGUGUUCAAUACAAAUAAAUUGAUUAUUAAAACUACAAAAGCAGUUCAAUGAAGUGCAACGAGUGAUUCCCUCUUUUCUUUUAUUGUUAGAUUAACACAUGAUACAGACGUCCUAUACUGUAAUGCAAAUCAAGAUAAUUUUAGUCUAAUUACUACCUGGAGCAUUUUGGCAGGGCUGGACUCAUGAGGACAUUAGCCAGACUCUCUGGAAUUACACCUGCUGCCACCAGGUAAUUUUUGUGAGCCACUUUAUUAAUGUUACAGGUGGGGCAAGGUGUUUGAGUGAUGACUGAUGUGUCAGCAGGUGACGUAAUGGAUGGUGUGAUGGGAACGAUAGAUGGUGUGGCGGCAGGGCUGGAUGGUGUGGCGUCACUUCCAUCUACAGAUGGGAGCACUCUCACCACCUAAGAAAAUAAAAUGUAUUUAAAACUCAUUAACACACUUGAAAGGAAAUGGAAGUAGCUUAGAGGAUGAAUUAUCAGUGUAUUAAUGUCAAAAUUUACCUGGGUUGUGUCCACAGCAGCCCUGGACAGAGAAAAAAAGGCCAGCCUUGCGAAACCCGGCCUUGAUGUUUUGGGCUGUGACAGCAGUGGGAUAGACAUGUUUGAGGAGAGCUGAAAACUGCUUCUUCCCCACAACAAUGUCCCUUCGCACCAGACCCAUCCUGGAAGCCAUGGUGAAGAAAGCAGUCUUCAGUGGGUUGAAGACCGCAAUAUCGAGGGGCUGAAUUAUGUGUGUAGUGUGGGCAGGAGCAUAUCUGAUGAAAUGGUGGAGCCAUUUCAAGAAGAGCUCGGAGUCCAUGUAUCCCUUCUCCUGGAUGCCAUACAGGGCAUUGGGGGGCCCAUUUGGGAGGCAGCCGGGGUAAAUGAUGAGGGUGGAAUGCUGUACCCGGCUGCAUUCACACAGCAGUGGACCGUGAUGUGCUCCCUGGUUGUCUGCUGCUGUUGAUAGACAUGUUUCCUUCCAGUCUGGCACAGGACCUUCUCCCUGGACCGAGGCUUGUCUCCAAAGCCAGUCUCAUCACAAUUAUAAAUGAGAUGAGGCUUGUUCUCAAGGUUAUGCUUUUCAUAAAGGGCCUUGUACAGCCUGAAGAAUGCCUCAAUGGCCUCCGGUGUAGCACCAUGGACUCUGGACUGCUGUCCUUGAGGCCAAUUCUGGAUGGUGGGCCUUAAACCUGGACCACCACACAUCACUUGGCCCCUUCUCCAGGUUUACGGUGGUGGUCUCAGUUCUGCCACUCUCUUUAAUGAUACCAACAGCCAGAAGUUUGACAAGGUAUCUUGUCAGUGGAAGCCAUGGUCUGCCAUCCAGAAUAUAAAAGAAAGGAGAGACUCUUCCUCUCCAGGUGUCAGGGCCGAAUUAGGAUGAGAGUUGUGGACAAUAUUUUUUUUUUUUUUUUUUAUAGUCCUG